rnacentral:lncRNA from 1 species
GUUCUGCCCUUGGAAAUCACACAGCCUAAGUCGAAUACUCCUUUGCCUGGCUAUUCUUGAAGCAUGUGAAGACGGACUGCAUCCUACCAUAGCCAAAAUCUUCCUUGAACUAAAUAUUCUUCUUCUUCUCACCAUUUCUCCCACGGACCAGUUUUCAGAACUUUCACCAUUCUCUUGGGUUUCUUCUGGCCCAACUCCUGUUUCUCGACUCCUCUGAGAUGUUGACUCAGGGUUAACGUAGUGCCAGUGAGAUGAAUUAAAUCAGAACUAAAGGGAGUUCUUCACUGGAUGUCACUGCUUAGUUUGGUGGGGCGAAUUCACGACUCCCAUCUCCCCAGUGAGUCCCGCACUAUGAGAAGGCGGGAGGAACAGGCAAUGAUCAGAUGUCACCUUUGUUGCUGGCUGAAACUUCCUGGGGGAAGCAGCAUUGCUGUAGUGACAAAGGCGCAGCUGGUCAAGGCAGGGUUGGAGAGUCUCUGGUGGUGCUCACGGUAGCUCAGCAUGGUCACCUUGCAGACCAUGAGGCAGAGAGGAGAGCCUCCGAGGGACACUCUGGCCUCCUGGGUUUCCUCUCUACUUCCCAGCCCUCACUGUUGGCUUUGAGUUGUCCUUUUGGUUCUCUGCCGGAGAAAGAAAGACUUUUGCACAAGUCCGAGUGUUUGGUCCAGAUCUUUCUGUCAAACUCACCAAUCAGCUACUUUACUCCAUCUCCUCAGGGAGCAGAGAGGGAGGAGCCACAGCAGCUAAAAGCGUCACACUGAUAAUGUCCCCCCAUACAGCAGGAAACAUAAGUGGGGAAGAAGUGUUCCUUCCUCGAUUUGGGCUCAGAAAAUCAACUCUGGGUGGAGGACCCUAUGUCUAAACUGCAGCUUGUGUGAGAACGGCCAGGGAAGCAUGACUGCAAACACACAUGGAGUCAGGCCUGGACUGCUGGCCCACAGCCACCCCUCCCACACACCUCAAGCUUCCGUCUUAAGUUAUACGAUAUCUAGGUGAAGCCAGAGACCACUCACCAGGGCUGGGCUCUAGAGCAAUCUGCUCCAUCUCUUUGAAGUUGAUUUCUCUCAUCAUAUGAUGGGAAUCAUGGCUGCUACCUCUUCUAAGGGUUAAGUAAGAUUGUUGUGUCACCGACUGAACAUAGUGAAUGAUUCAUGCAACAAUAAAGUCUUUAAUCCUUUUCUUAUCUCUUCCUGUCCAGCCAUCCCCUUGACAAAGAGACCAAAGGGCAACCGGAGGAGUUCAGCAAUUCCACCUUUUAUGUAUUCUAGAUGAGGCCUCUUGGGCCUUAGGAGGCGGCCCACUCCUGUGUUCUUUUGCAUUCUGGCCAUUUUUGGUUGGCACACCCUCUUUUUGCAGCUGACUUUCCCCCUCAGGCCCAAGUAUUAUUUAGGUUUUCACUUACAGAUGCUUUUCCUGCUUGUGGACAGGGCUUCUCCAGCGUCUGGUCCCUUGGCUGUGUGCUGUGUCGACACUUGGUUCUUUCCCUUUUAAUCCGGACCUCAUCUGAGAGCAUCCCUCUGUGACCACUCCAGCCUCCCAUGUUUCCUCCUCUGAAUCUUCUCAGCCCUGAUCCCUUACUCUGAGUUGACUUUUUGGUUCCAAGGGAGGCACUGGAUUGCACAAACCUUUGAUCUAGGCAAAAUGGUCACCUGUUUCUUUUCCUCUGGGAUCCCAGCUCCCCAUGACAGGACAUUCCCUCUCAGGCUGGGCUGGAGGGUGCUGGAGAGGAGCAGGGU